GACGGAGGGCGCGAGCGUUGUUCGGAAUUACUGGGCGUAAAGCGCGCGCAGGCGGGCGUGGCAAGUCGGAAGUGAAAUCCCGGGGCUCAACUCCGGGGCCGCUUCCGAUACUGUUCGUCUAGGGACCGGUAGAGGCCGGUGGAAUUCCCGGUGUAGCGGUGGAAUGCGUAGAGAUCGGGAAGAACACCUGUGGCGAAGGCGGCCGGCUGGGCCGGAUCCGACGCUGAGGCGCGAAAGCGUGGGGAGCAAA
rnacentral:rRNA from 1 species